UACGAAGGGGGCUAGCGUUGUUCGGAAUUACUGGGCGUAAAGCGUACGUAGGCGGAUUGUUAAGUGAGGGGUGAAAUCCCGAGGCUCAACCUCGGAACUGCCUUUCAUACUGGCAAUCUUGAGUCCGGGAGAGGUGAGUGGAACUCCUAGUGUAGAGGUGAAAUUCGUAGAUAUUAGGAGAACACCAGUGGCGAAGGCGGCUCACUGGCCCGGAACUGACGCUGAGGUACGAAAGCGUGGGGAGCAAACAGG
rnacentral:rRNA from 1 species